AUUGAACGCUGGCGGCAGGCCUAACACAUGCAAGUCGAACGAGUGGCGGACGGGUGAGUAAUGUCUGGGAAACUGCCCGAUGGGGGGGGAUAACUACUGGAAACGGUAGCUAAUACCGCAUACCAUCGGAUGUGCCCAGAGGGGAUUAGCUAGUAGGUGGGGAAACGGCUCACCUAGGCGACGAUCCCUAGCUGGUCUGAGGGGGUGACCGGCCACUCUGAACUGAGACCCGGUCAAGACUCCUACGGGAGGCAGCGGUGGGGAAUAUUGCACAAUGGGCGCAAGCCGGAUGCAGCCAUGCCGCGUGUAUGAAGAAGGCCUUCGGGUUGUAAAGUACGUUCAGCGAGGAGGCGUUACUCGCAGAAGAAGCAUCGGCUAACUCCGUGCCAGCAGCCGCGGUAAUUC
rnacentral:rRNA from 1 species